GCCAGACCCCUACGGGAGGCAGCAGUGGGGAAUAUUGCACAAUGGGGGAAACCCUGAUGCAGCGACGCCGCGUGAGUGAGGAAGUAUUUCGGUAUGUAAAGCUCUAUCAGCAGGGAAGAAAAUGACGGUACCUGACUAAGAAGCCCCGGCUAACUACGUGCCAGCAGCCGCGGUCAUACGUAGGAUCCGAGCAUUAUCCGGAGUGACUGGGUGUAAAGAGUUGCGUAGGUGGCAUAAUAAGUAGCUAGUGAAAUCUGGUGGCUCAACCAUUCAGACUAUUGGCUAAACUGUUAAGCUCGAGACCGUUAGGGGCAUCUGGAAUUUCUAGUGUAGGAGUGAAAUCCGUAGAUAUUAGAAGGAACACCAAUAGCGUAGGCAGGAUGCUGGGACGGUUCUGACACUAAGGCACGAAAGCGUAGGGAGCAAACGGGAUUAGAUACCCGUGUAAU
rnacentral:rRNA from 1 species